rnacentral:rRNA from 1 species
GGCUCAGCGCGAACGCCGGCGGCAGGCUCCACACACGCAAGCCGAACGGUAGCAGGAGCAAGCCCGCUCCCCCCGUGACGCGCGGCGGACGGGCGAGCAACGCUCCGGGAACCCGGCCUCAGGAGGGGGAAAACCACGGGAAAACCGUAGCCAAUACCGCGUAUAAUCGGAAAAAGAAAGUCGCGGGACCGCAAGGCCGCAUGCCAUGAGAUGAGCCCAAGUGGGAUUAGGUAGUUGGUGGGGUAAAGGCCUACCAAGCCUGCGAUCUCUAGCUGGUCUGAGAGGAUGACCAGCCACACUGGAACUGAGACACGGUCCAGACUCCUACGGGAGGCAGCAGUGGGGAAUAUUGCGCAAUGGGGGCAACCCUGACGCACCCAUGCCGCGUGAAUGAAGAAGGCCUUCGGGUUGUAAAGUCCUUUCAGUAUUGAGGAAGGUUGAUGUGUUAAUAGUACAUCAAAUUGACGUUAAAUACAGAAGAAGCACCGGCUAACUCCCUGCCCGCAUCCCCGGUAAUACGGAGGGUGCGAGCGUUAAUCCUAAUACCUGGGCGUAAAGGGCACGCAGGCGGUUAUUAAAGUGAGGUGUGAAGCCCCCGGGCUUNAACCUGGGAAUGCAUUUUCAGACUGGGUAACUAGAGUACUCUAGGGAGGGGUAGAAUUCCACGUGUAGCGGUGAAAUGCGUAGAGAUGUGGAGGAAUACCGAAGGCGAAGGCAGCCCCUUGGGAAUGUACUGGCGCUCAUGUGCGAAAGCGUGGGGAGCAAACAGGAUUAGAUACCCUGGUAGUCCACGCUGUAAACGCUGUCGAUUUGGGGAUUGGGCUUAAAGCUUGGUGCCCGUAGCUAACGUGAUAAAUCGACCGCCUGGGGAGUACGGCCGCAAGGUUAAAACUCAAAUGAAUUGACGGGGGCCCGCACAAGCGGUGGAGCAUGUGGUUUAAUUCGAUGCAACGCGAAGAACCUUACCUACUCUUGACAUCCAUGGAAUCCUGUAGAGAUACGGGAGUGCCUUCGGGAACCAUGAGACAGGUGCUGCAUGGCUGUCGUCAGCUCGUGUUGUGAAAUGUUGGGUUAAGUCCCGCAACGAGCGCAACCCUUAUCCUUUGUUGCCAGCGAUUUGGUCGGGAACUCAAAGGAGACUGCCAGUGAUAAACUGGAGGAAGGUGGGGAUGACGUCAAGUCAUCAUGGCCCUUACGAGUAGGGCUACACACGUGCUACGAAUGGCGUAUACAGAGGGUGGCGAAACUGCGAGGUGGAGCGAAUCUCAGAAAGUACGUCUAAGUCCGGAUUGGAGUCUGCGAACUCGACUCCGUGAAGUCGAAAUCGCUAGGAUCGCGAAACAGAAUGUCGCGGUGAAAACGUUCCCGGGCCGUGUCGCACCGCCCGUCAAA